rnacentral:misc_RNA from 1 species
UGGUUCAAAGGCCGCGCGUCAAACAACAACAAAAUACAAACAACCCAACCACAGGAAAAAAAAGAGAGCACCCCGCAGAGCACUGUAAGCGUUGGUAGAAAACACACAAACAGUGAAUGUUACCAAGUAAGCAGACGCACAGGCACGCACGCAUACACACAUCCCCCAGGUAGGUUGCACAGACACAUUAUAAAUAUAUAUAAGAAAAAAGGAAGGAGCAUCGAGCUCGUCGGCACUUUGACGGGGCGUAUACACGAAGGCGAGCGCACACGCUGAAGAAAAACAAACCCGAAAUCCCCCAAACCGAAGACACACACGCCCUUUCCCCCAAGAAAACGUUUGAGGGACAACAACGAAGAGAGGUAGAGCGAGUGAGAAAGGAGGAGUCAACGGCCGCAGGCUUUUUAUUACUCAAACGCGUACAUAACGCGCACUCCGGUGUACAUAAUUCGAAAGGGACAACGACAUUUUUUUUUGUGAAGAAAAGACGAUACAUCUUCUGCGUUAAUUUUUUUCGUUGCUUCGUAGUAUUCUGCGCAUGCUUUGUUCUUUUGCCUUUUUUUCCAGAAGUUUGAACACACACACACACACACAAAGAAACUCAACGGCCUCUUCUUUUUCCCCGUCCUCGACCUCUAUCUCUCUGCGUCGAUUUGUUCUUUUUCGUCUAGCAAGAACGACUAAAUAUCUGCCCAUAGCCGGAGACCCACUCCCCUCCCCUACCCGUCACUGUUGCCAUCCACUUCUCUCCAGAUUUUGACAUUCAAAUCUUCAACGAAUUCCUCUCCCUCCUACCCCAGCAGCGCAGAAACGAAGCGGCCGACCACACGCGCAUAGAAACAGCAACAGAAAAGACGCGCUUGACGACUCUCUUUUCGACGGCCCCUUCUUCGCCUUCCUUGUGAUAUAUAUCGAUAUCUAUCUAUUUGUUUCCUUCUCGUGAAGCCCUUUUCUUUUUCGUCGCUUGCUCCCUUUUUCUUUGUGUUUUGCUUGCUGCCGCCCCCAGGCCUUUUCCGUCUCCGUUUGCGGUGUAUGUGGACGAGUGCGCGAGCUGUUGAUUGACGAAUUGCACAUCACGUUUGUUUUGUGCGGGCACUGACGCUGGUCGUCGGCCCUUCUCCCCUUCCUCAGCAUCGCUCAUUUUCCUCCUUUGUUUUCGUCCCGACGCACUCUUUCGUUUGGUUUUAGCGGCUCUCGUUUACGUGGUCUCAGGCCUUCUGGUGCUUCCUCUUUGCGUGGCCGUCUUUGCAUUGUUGCUGCUGCGGCUUCUGGUAGGGCUCACUUCCGUCUCUGCAGGCUUUCGCAGGCACCUCCUCCUUUCUCUCUGCCACGCGGUGCUCUUUGCCUGCUCAGCACUGCAGCGGAUCUUCCUGUUGCUCGACCACAUUUUCAUGUCUGUGGUGAAAGCGGACCGAGCAGGCCAUUGUCAAGUAUUGUCGCUCUUUUUUUCCUUCUGUGCGCCUUGAAUCCUACACGAGGGAUAACGAAGUCUUUGUGCCUACACACCCACAUAAGACUUAUCCCGCUUCCAUCCGUUUUCGUCUUUUCGGCUCUUUUCUUGUCUUCUACCCUCAUCCUGUUGCUCGAUUUGUCUGUCAUCCUUUCCCUCCCCACUUUUUCUCUUCCCUUGCGCGGGAGGCCCAUCUUUUGGUGCUGGAUCGGCGUCUUUUUUACAUCUCUCUCUCGCGCGCACCUUGGUCAGCUCCAGAUCUCGCUACACACCGGCACACAGGCACCUACAACCCACUUUCGUUGGAUUGCAGCAGUUGGGUGGCCGUGCAGGUCUUUCUACUCUUUCUCCGUUCAUCUUGUUUUGUCUCUUGCUUGUACCUUUCCCAGUGUUGUUUUGUUGCUUCGUUUCUUGUACCACUUUUCUGCCCUGGCACAGCUGAAGCACUUCUUCAGAGUCCUCCUCUGCUUGUGUUGCGUCUCUUCGCUCACUCCGAUCCCCUCUUUCUCUCGUUGAUUUCCUUUCUGUUCUGUUGUCUUGUGCAUCUUUUCCUGUGCUUUUGGCGUCUCCUGCAUCGCCUAUCAAGCGUUUCGGUGUUCUCGUCUCUUUUUUUUGUGUGUGUUUUACGUUCUGGGGCUGGCUCAGCUACAUACCGUGACGACGGCGUUCUCUUCUUCGCUUGGGUUCUUGUCUUGCCUUCCCUCCCCAUACCUCCCUCCUCUUUUCGUGUCGUCGUCUUUGUUUUGCUUUACACUCUUCGUGUGUGGGAGCUGCUUCAUCGUUGAGAGUGUCUUGAUUUUCCCUUUCUCGCCCCCUUUUUUUUUUCCAAAAGUUUGCCAAGCACUUCCAUACACGCACACAUCAAACAAAACAGGCGGCGCUCUUAAGCACCUAAAGAAAAAGAAGAAAACAAAAAGCAACGACAACAGUGCCCCCUUCUCUCUGUCGCAUACACAUGCAUAGCUAUACAUAACUAUAUAUAUAUAUCUAUACACCUAUCUAUAUAUAUAUAUAUAUAUCUAUUAUUAUUAUUAUCCGUGAUCACUCUCGGCCCUCCUCUGUCUCUCUAUCUUUCUGUGUUCUUACCUUCUCCAUUUCUGAGGAGGUGUGGGCGUGCUUGAGCGCUUGUCACUGCGGAAUCUUUCACCUGGGCGUUUGUCCGUGUGCGAGGCGUGCGUAUGCUUGUUUGGUAGCUGUGCUUUCCCAUCAUAAUCUUGCCUUUCUCUUCGUCGGCUUUUAGCCCCUCAACCUUCCCUCCCCCGACUUGUUGCUGCUCGGUGAUUGAGGACUUUUGCCUUUGUCUUGCCUCCUCCUUUUCUCUGCUUUCGCUCGCUCGCUCUCUCUCCCUCGGUGAGUGACUGUGGCCUGUUGCGUGCACUUUCCCUUCGUUGCGGAUUUUUCGUUUUUCUCACGUUUCCACGUUCUUCGUCGCUUACUCUUCUUCCCGCGCCUCUCCUUGUCUUUUCGUUUUAUUAUUCACCGUUUGCGCCCCUUUCCGUCACUCGCGCUCCGUGCCAUCUGCGCCACGCUGUGCACAUAUAUAUAUAUAUAUUUUCGUGUUCCCGUUGCUGUUCUGCCUUUCGUUGUGCGUAGGGUCUCUUCGCUUCUCACUUGCUGUCCCUCUGCUCGCUGGCUUCACUUUUUCUUGCGCGUGCGUGCGUCCAGGUAGGGUGUGCUGUUGUUGUCAUUGCUGUUGAUCCCUGUUGCAGAGGACUUCACGGAGAGUUAUCGAAGGGGUCUUCGUCUGGCCUCUUGUGUGCUCCGUCCCCUUUUCGUAUUCGGCUUCCCACCGUCCGUCUUGUCUCCGAGGGGCUUCUUCGUUGCUUCUUUCGCUCACACUACCCCUUCCACUUGUGUGUGGCCAUUUUGUUCCCUUUUUUCGUCUCUCUUUUUGUACACGCUCCGGUUGCUGGCGUGUGCGCGGGUGCGCUUAACGUUUUGCUCAGAAGUAAGCACCUCUCUCGGUAUAUAUAUUUGUUUUGGUGCGUACUGGACAGGGGGAGAGAGAGGGACUGAUGCUUUUCCGUGAUCAGCACGACAGCGGCAAUGGUGCAGGCGCCGUGGGCACAGGCGUGGCGAAUCAGCACAACGAAGAUGACGAGACGUGCUCGACUGGCGGGCGGAGCUACACGAGCGCCGAGUCCGCCACUGCGCAGAGCUUCGAGCAUCGCAUGGCGCAGCUGCAAAACACGAUGAACAUGAUGCCCGACAUCAGCGGUGAAGCUAAUGCUUUCUCCAAGGCGGAGCCUGGCAUCGACGGCGGCGCACAGACCUACCUCACGCCGGGCUACCAGCUCUUUCCCAGAGUCGGCGGCGCGUACGCUGACACCGACUCCGAUGACAUCGAUGAUGUGCAGAACAGCCUGCCAGUGAUGGCGCAUGCCAACGACGGUGACAACGGUGGGCCGAAGCGUGCGAGACACAACACCACGUCUUCCGGAAGGAAACCCGAAAGCACCGUAGAUGAAGACGAGGAGGAGGCCGAUUACUUGGCGUCGUUGCUGCGCAACAUCGAGAAGCACGCAGAGCGGCUCGACACCCAGUUUUACCGCUACCCAUCUUCGGAUGUGAUCAAACAACAGAUGGCUGCGACGGCUCCGCCGAGUGGGGAAAAGGCGAAGGACGACGCCGCGGCGACCGGCAACGGUGCCGCGUCGGCUGGAUCUUGUGGUACGACCGCCUCGGCGGGAGAGGGCAGCGCCGCUGAAGAUCAGUCAGGCAGCGGCAGUGCUGUGUCCCCCAGGUCGUCGCCGCAGGCACUGAGGGCAGGAUCACCAGCGCCGUCACCGACCGCUGCGGCGCCGCCGGCGUCGUCGCACAGUCCGGGCACAAAGCUGUUCCUGGGCGGCCUGCGCUACGAGGUCAUUCAAAGCGGGCGGCACAUGGUGAGCUGGAUCUUCCAGGUCGCUUGCGGCGUGCGCCUGAGCCCGUCAAGCAUUCUUAUUCAUCGCAAGACGAAGAAUGGGCGCUCAAACGUGGCACCAACGGGGUGCGCGUCUGUGUUUGUCGCCAACGACGCCGAUGUGCAGGCGCUCCUGGAUGUGAACCAGCGCAUCUACUGUGCUGAGGAAGGCGUCUAUGUGUCGCCAUCGCCUGAAAUCAUGAAGGAGCUUAUCGCAUCAAAGGACAUAGUCGAUGUGACCGGAGGCCGGGUGCGGGGGCCCACCCACCCCGUUGUGAUUGAGCGUGCCUACAGUCUCAGCCACCACCAUGGCCACCGCGAGAGUAGCGGCAGCGGCACCCGCGGGCACGGUGGCGCCGGGGGCGGUGCAGCGGCUAGCGGCGGCGGGGGCCACCGCCACACACCCACGACUUCGACUGCUAGCACGGAGAGCAACCUUUCAAGCCAGCUCCGGGGACCCAUGCCGCCGCCGUACGGGAGUGUACCGCCACCUCAGUACGGCGCCGUACACGCCUCUCCUUUGUGUAUACCGGGCAGCCUGCAGCCACCGUCUUACACGCCAUCUACCGUUUCCAGCUCCAUGGGGAUGGGCUGCAUGCCAGUGGCCGGAAGCAUGCCAACCAGAUCAAGCAGCACCACCCUUUAUCCCUCCAGUGCCGUCUUGUCAGGGCAGUCGUCGCCGUCAACGCAGCCGCUUCUCGGGGACGCGCUGGCAUUUAGUCCGCCGCCCACCGCUAAGGGGCUGGAUCCGCAGCGCGUGACGUUCCACGCCUAUUUGCGCAGCGACGCCGCGGCACGCAGGAGCCCCACCGCGCCGUCAUCCUCAGGCUUGCCUUCGGCCACUGGCAGCUCCGCAGCGCACCACAAGGUACUGUUCGUUGCUGCUUUGCCAACUGAGGCGACCUCAGACUACGUCUCGUGGCUUUUUUCGCUCAUGAGCAUCACCCUGCCCCCUUCCCACAUCCACAUCAUUGGCGGCGGAGGUACCAACCCUGUCGUGAGCGGCCCUCCAGGUGGGGCUUCGUCAGCCGGCGUUGGCAAGAACAUGUCGGACAGCUGCGCCACAGUAAACCUCGGCGAAGGCGACAUCCCCAUCGCGCUUAACUACCAUCAUCGCGUGCUGUGCACCUCACGAGGUGCGUGGAUAGGCCACUCAGCGCAGGACAUUGCUGCUCUGCGGGCCAGCGACGCAUCUUUGCGUGACUGCCCGGUGCUGCACGUGGAUCGGCGCAUGUCUGCGCAGACCGCCGCCGGCGUUGGGAGCGGCAGCUCCGCCUCACCAGAAACUCCAGUCUAUACGCACGGCAGCGCAGGGGGUGAGUUUGGUAGCAGCGGUAUCCCGCCUUAUCCGCCGAUGCAGGCGCCGUAUUCACCACCCGUCUUUGGCGGCAUGCCGGUGAUGCCGGCGGCUACCAUUGGUGGUGCCGUGAACGCGAUGCCGUUCCCGAUGCAGUGGGGCUUCAGCAUUCCCUCCUCAUCUGCCAACUGCAUGCGCACAGGGGUGCCACCGCCGCCACAAGCGGCGAUGAUGGGCGGCGCUGUGACUCCUGCCAUGGGUGCUGGAGCUCCGCCGCCGCCGCCGAAUGCGACAAUGCCGCCCCCAUUCCCGUUCCCGCAGACGGUUACAAUUGGUGACCGCGUCUACCAGCUGCCUCACGGCGCAACGUUGCAGUUUCUGCCAGUCAUCACUCCCGCCGGCGGUGCUGGCGCGGGCGGCGAGGCUGAGGUCGGCGGCACGGGUAGCGCUGCUGGAGGUCGUCGACGGAACGAACCUUCAGGUCGUGGGAACCCCUCGAACCUGGAGGCGCCGGCAAAACCGAGUACCGACUUACCUCAGCCUGACACACCGCUGCAGUUUAGCACGCGACCCUCGUAGAGGCGCUUUGAGCCGUAAUACUGCGUGUCUGUGUGGUCGGCUAUGACGCACUUCGUAGGAGAGGGAAAGGGCAGCGUGCACAGGCCGUCGAGCAGAGAAGCAAUGCACGCGUGCAUUUUCUCUUUCCUUGCUUGCCUGAAUCAUUUCUGUCUGUUGUUGCCGCACAAAAAAAAAAGGACUCGCGCUGCUCGUGCGCGGCGGUUUUGCUGUGCUUGCAGCAUCUAUGCUUUCUUGCGCAUUGCUUCUUCAUGUGCUUGUCUGGUGCCAUCCGCUGUUGCUCAUGAGGAUAUGGCCACUGGAACACGAAGGAGCGAGCAAGAAAAACAAAGGAAGGAAAGCAGAAGAGCCACUAUAUGCAAAUACGUGCUGCCGGCACGUGCUAUGUCGCCUCCCUCUCUCCCCUCACUUGCUUCCUUUCGUUUUUUUUUUCUCCACACACACACGCCCACACCACUCCGUUUCCUUCACCGUUCCCUCUUUGUGUUUUGUUUUGCCGUGCUGCUGCCGCCGUGCUCGCAUCAUCUGCCGCGCUCUCGAGACAG